CCCACUUUGUGCAAUCUUCUAGAUAAUCAUUGACUUUAUAGUAAGCUUUAUUGCACAGAUUGGGAAUGAGUUGCUCGCUCCGGGAAUUUCAAUAUUGUAAAAUUGUUAUGUUAUAAUUACUUAUUGUAAUAUGAAUAUUUAAAAAAAAAAAAAAUAUUUAAAAUAAAAAUAAAAAUCUAAUAUUAAAAAAAAAAAAAAAACAUGCCCGCUGAGUUUCUUGCCAAUUCUUCUCAGGACGGAGGCUAAUUCUUGUGAAUUGGCGGUAAUUCUUUUGACGUUCAACAAGUAUGUACUUUCAUUUAUGUUGAAUAAAACUUUUUUGAUUU